GGAAGUGAUAUCGAUUCUUUAAAUCCCGAAUUGACUGAAUAUAAAUGUAUUUUACCAGAAAUGCCAGAAUCUCAGGUUAAAGCUCACAAAACUAUUUCAACAACCAGCAAAUGAGAGCAGGAAACGCAUUCCACACAAACAGGUAAACACAGAGCGGACCGACGCAUCAGAAUUAGCUUAGUCACGUCGGGACUGAAAGCCAUUAAUUCCCUCUUACUUUUGCUGUUUUUCUUCCAACACGAUAAAAACCACAGUUCAUGCACAGCUCUCACUGUACUUCAAGAACAGUUUCCCAUCUCAAACAUCUGUUUUCCGCAUUAAUCAUUCGCUUAUUACCCAUCAGCAAUGUUCCCUCUAAGCUGCGUACUCAAAGACCGCUAAGGGUUAGGGGGGUUAGGGUUAGGGGUUAGGGUUAGGGGGUAAUAGCCAGUAGUUGACCAGACCAAAUGGAAAUAACUCGAAAAGUAAGUGUCGUAGAGGGAUGGAAGUGGUGUCUAGGGGGGGGUUUUGGGGUCCUCCGGACUCGCUGGUGAAGACCCCAUGUCGAUAGCAGCAACGGUUGCGGAGUUGUGGCAAAUCGGUCCAAAAUUGACCAGACCAAAAGGUCAAAGUGACAGAUAGGAGUGUCCGACCGGGCUGAUAGCACCACCCCUGUACUCAGCAGGGCCUACCGCGUCGUUAGACACCCGACAUGGCAGGGUUGGGGGUCAUGACAUGUGACCGACCAUUUUUGGUCAUGUGACCGAAGUGUGCCGAGUUACCCAUUGACGGAUGCGUAAUCCAAC
rnacentral:lncRNA from 1 species